ensembl:lncRNA
CACACCCCUCAUUCAUCAUAUGUGUUCUCACAAGAAAUUACAAUGUAUUACACUGAAAUUAAUUUAGAAUGGUUUACUGUAGUACAGAAGGUAAGAAAAAAGUAUGAAUGCUUGAUAUACAGUGACAGGUACUUGCUUUUGUAGAGGUUAUGAAACACUUGGAGACAUCUAGACACCAUAUGGAAACUGAUGUGUAACACUUGUAACCUUUUGUCUAUCUGCUUCAAAUUCUUUACACACACUGUCAAGAUGUUGUUGCACCAGGAAAUGUAAAUAUUAGUUUCCUAUGACAUUCAAAAAACAGUUCUACACUGAAACAUAAAGAAAACAAUAGGCGUUUUAUGUUUUUUUCUGACAAAUGUUUUAGUUUUGCUGCUCUGAAAUGUAAACUAAAAUGACAUAAUUAAACUAGGGCUGGGCAACAAUUACAAAUUGUAAUCGCGAUUAAUCGCAUGAUAUCCCUGAUUAAUCACGAUUAAUCGCAUUUGUAUACGCAAAAUCCAAUAAUUAAUUAAAAAGUAGUGUAUAGCGCACUUUUAUUUGAAAUGUUUUGCCAUAUGAACGAAAGUGCCAUAACACAAACACUUUUAACAUCAGCAUUUUAAUACAGUAGCAGUUAAAUAAAAUAUUCAGUUUAAAUCUCAACUUAAACAAUGUUAUCAAAGCAAAUACUAAAUUAAAGCUCAUUGCCACUGCCAGGGCAUUAAUGUUAUCCUGUUUGUUAUGAAAAAGAAAAAAACUGGCAAAAAAAUCCUGAGCCACAAUCAUAUCAUUAAAACAGGCAAUUUCUGAGGUAACAGCCGAAACAUUUUUACUUUCAUCAGGGAGCAGCAUAACCAGUCUAUGUUCAGUACCAAAUGUCCCUGAGUGAGAAACCAGAAAACACUUUCAGUGCAGUUUGUCAAUUCCUAGAACUUGACACUGUUAUUUUAAAUGUACUGCCAUAUGAACUAAAGUGCCAUAACAUUUGUUGUGCAAACACUUAACGUCAGCAUUUUUAUAUAGUAGCAGUUAAAUAAAAUAAAUACUUUGUGUAAUUCUCAACUUAAACAAUGUUAUCAAAACAAACACAAAACUAAAGCUUAUUGCCACUGCCAAGGCAUUAAUGUUAGUGUGGUGAAGCACCAAAAAGUUCACUGCUGGCAGUUACUCUGCUGUACGUAGUCUGCCGAAGCCUCCCUCCACUGUCUGUUUCGUUGAAUGGUUUGCAAUUAUCACAUGUAUGUAUAUAUGUCUUUGGCAAAUUUAAGCCUAACUAUCGAGAUUCUAAGUAACAUGGAGACCAAACGUUGUUUAAUUAAUUGAUGCGUUAACGCAAUAAUAACGCGUUAACGUGCCCAGCCCUAAAUUAAACACUUUAACUCUUGGUGAAAUGACUCAAGACUCAGUUCAGAAACAAUUACCCCAUUAUACCACAUGGGGUGCUGUAAUAAGGAAAUUGUCAUAAUUUGGCAAUUCCUUGAUGUAUUGAUAUCAAACUUGGUAGUUAGACAUAAUUAUAUUGAGAAAAAAAUCUCCCAUUUCACCACUACAGGGGGCAUUUGUUCAUGAAAUUUGGCAAAGAUGAUCUUCAAACCAAGACUCACUAAAGGUAAUUGUUGGAUUUUUGAAAAAGCUUUUUUUCCAUGAGAGACAAUCAAAAUUGGAGCCAAAGCUGUCACACAAGAAAUGAUGCUAUAUCUCAGCCAAUGUUUUUGGUAAAUUGUUGGUAGGAAAGCAUACAACCAUGCCCUUGAUGCCAUGGCAACCAUGCCCUUGAUGCCAUGGCAACUAUGCCCUUGAUGCCAUGGCAACUAUGCCCUGCUGGGCUCCUUGGCCCCCUCAUCAUUUCCUAUUCGCUCUUGAUCUGUGUGGUUCUUAUGUCUGGUGGUAUCUUGGGAGAUGUCAAGGACGGGACACAAUGAUCAUGGCAAGCAAAAUGAUGUGGCCAACAUAUUGGAUUAAUCAAAAACCUUCUCUUCUCCUACAGACAGACACUCCAUUGGGUUUGUCUUUUGUCUUUUGUUGAUGUGUGAUGGGGAGAGAGAGAGAUGAUGGAGGGGGAGAGAGAGAGAUGAUGGAGGGAGAGAGAGAGAUGAUGAUGAUGGAGGGAGGGAGAGAGAUGAUGGAGGGAGAGAGAGAGAUGAUGGAGGGAGAGAGAGAUGAUGGAGGGAGAGAGAGAGAUGAUGGAGGGAGAGAGAGAUGAUGGAGGGAGAGAGAGAGAUGACAGAGGGAGAGAGAGAGAUGACAGAGGGAGAGAGAGAGAUGAUGGAGGGAGAGAGAGAGAUGACAGAGGGAGAGAGAGAUGAUGGAGGGAGAGAGAGAGAUGACAGAGGGAGAGAGAGAGAUGAUGGAGGGAGAGAGAGAUGACAGAGGGAGAGAGAGAGAUGACAGAGGGAGAGAGAGAUGAUGGAGGGAGAGAGAGAGAUGACAGAGGGAGAGAGAGAUGAUGGAGGGAGAGAGAUGAUGGAG